rnacentral:rRNA from 1 species
UACGCAGGGUGCAAGCGUUAAUCGGAAUUACUGGGCGUAAAGCGUGCGUAGGCGGCUAUGUAAGACAGAUGUGAAAUCCCUGGGCUUAACCUAGGAACUGCAUUUGUGACUGCAUUGCUAGAGUGUGGUAGAGGGAGAUGGAAUUCCGCAUGUAGCAGUGAAAUGCGUAGAUAUGCGGAGGAACACCAAUGGCGAAGGCAAUCUCCUGGACCUGCACUGACGCUCAUGCACGAAAGCGUGGGGAGCAAACAGG